AAGUCGUAACAAGGUUUCCGUAGGUGAACCUGCGGAAGGAUCAUUACAAAUCUAGUUGAUAUAUGUUGUCAUGGGUGGCUCGCAAGGGUUGUUGAUGGCAAUGUGUAUUGAUUUCUUGUGAACUGGUUCGCCUGUAUAGCAAUAUAUGGGUGAAUGUAUUUAAUUACUUGUAUUUUUUAUUAUUUCGAUACAAAAGUAUUGAAACUAAUAUAAAGACAACUUUCAGCAAUGGAUCUCUUGGCUCUU
rnacentral:misc_RNA from 1 species